CCUACGGGGUGCAGCAGUAGGGAAUAUUGCUCAAUGGGGGAAACGCUGAAGCAGCAACGCCGCGUGGAGGAUGAAGGUUUUAGGAUUUUAAACUCCUUUUGUUAGAGAAGAUAAUGACGGUAUCUAACGAAUAAGCACCGUCUAACUCCGGGACAGCAGCGGCGGUAAUACGGCGGGUGCAGGCGUUACUCGGAAUCACUGGGCGUAAAGAGCGCGUAGGCGGGAUAGCAAGUCAGAUGUGAAAUCCUAUGGCUUAACCAUAGAACUGCAUUUGAAACUGUUAUUCUAGAGUAUGGGAGAGGUAGGUGGAAUUCUUGGUGUAGGGGUAAAAUGCGUAGAGAUCAAGAAGAAUACUGAUUGCGAAGGCGACCUGCCAGAACGCAACUGACGCUGAUGCGCGAAAGCGUGGGGAGCAAACAGGAUUAGAUACCCUGGUAGUC
rnacentral:rRNA from 1 species